CUACGGGCGGCUGCAGUAAAGAAUCUUCCGCAAUGGGCGAAAGCCUGACGGAGCAACACUGCGUGGAGGACGAAGGCCUUCGGGUCGUAAACUCCUUUUCUGGGGGAAGAAAUUCUGACGGUACCCUAGGAAUAAGCAACGGCCAAUUACGUGCCAGCAGCCGCGGUAAUACGUAAGUUGCAAGCGUUAUCCGGAAUUAUUGGGCGUAAAGCGUCCGUAGGCGGUAAUGAAAGUCUGUGGUUAAAGCCUCCCGCUCAACGGGAGAAUCGUCACAGAAACUUCAUCGCUCGAGCAGUGCAGAGGCAAGUGGAAUUCCGGAAGUAGUGGUAAAAUACGUAGAUCUCCGGAGGAACACCAAACGCGAAGGCAUCUUGCUGGGCACUCGCUGACGCUGAGGGACGAAAGCGUGGGGAACAAACAGGAUUAGAUACCCCAGUAGUC
rnacentral:rRNA from 1 species